rnacentral:rRNA from 1 species
ACGUACACUCCUACGGGAGGCAGCAGUGGGGAAUUUUGGACAAUGGGCGAAAGCCUGAUCCAGCCAUGCCGCGUGCAGGAUGAAGGCCUUCGGGUUGUAAACUGCUUUUGUACGGAACGAAACGGCCUUUUCUAAUAAAGAGGGCUAAUGACGGUACCGUAAGAAUAAGCACCGGCUAACUACGUGCCAGCAGCCGCGGUAAUACGUAGGGUGCAAGCGUUAAUCGGAAUUACUGGGCGUAAAGCGUGCGCAGGCGGUUAUGUAAGACAGUUGUGAAAUCCCCGGGCUCAACCUGGGAACUGCAUCUGUGACUGCAUAGCUAGAGUACGGUAGAGGGGGAUGGAAUUCCGCGUGUAGCAGUGAAAUGCGUAGAUAUGCGGAGGAACACCGAUGGCGAAGGCAAUCCCCUGGACCUGUACUGACGCUCAUGCACGAAAGCGUGGGGAGCAAACAGGAUUAGAUACCCCUGUAGUCC